UACGGAGGGGGCUAGCGUUGUUCGGAAUUACUGGGCGUAAAGCGCGCGUAGGCGGCUUUGCAAGUUAGAGGUGAAAGCCCGAGGCUCAACUUCGGAAUUGCCUUUAAAACUGCGAGGCUAGAAUUGUGGAGAGGUAAGUGGAAUUCCGAGUGUAGAGGUGAAAUUCGUAGAUAUUCGGAAGAACACCAGUGGCGAAGGCGACUUACUGGACACAUAUUGACGCUGAGGUGCGAAAGCGUGGGGAGCAAACAGG
rnacentral:rRNA from 1 species